UACGAAGGGGGCUAGCGUUGCUCGGAAUCACUGGGCGUAAAGCGCACGUAGGUGGUCCGCUAAGUCGCGUGUGAAAUCCCCCGGCUCAACCGGGGAAAUGCGCGUGAUACUGGCGGGCUUGAGAUCGGGAGGGGUGAAUGGAACUCCAGGUGGAGCGGUGAAAUGCGUAGAUAUCUGGAGGAACACCGGUGGCGAAAGCGGUUCACUGGCCCGACACUGACACUGAGGUGCGAAAGCUAGGGUAGCAAACGGG
rnacentral:rRNA from 1 species